UACGGAGGGGGCUAGCGUUGUUCGGAAUUACUGGGCGUAAAGGGUUCGUAGGUGGCCUGCUAAGUCACACGUGAAAUCCCUCAGCUUAACUGGGGAACUGCGUGUGAGACUGGCGGGCUUGAGUGCAGGAGAGGAACGCGGAAUUCCAGGUGUAGCGGUGAAAUGCGUAGAUAUCUGGAGGAACACCGGUGGCGAAGGCGGCGUUCUGGACUGCUACUGACACUGAGGAACGAAAGCCAGGGGAGCAAACGGG
rnacentral:rRNA from 1 species